rnacentral:tRNA from 1 species
GGUCUAUUAGUCUAGUUGGUUAGGACGUCGGAUUCUGAUUAUCGGAAUUCCGUAGGCCCAGGUUCGAAUCCUGGAUGGACCU